AUUUGUGAAAUUUUGUGAGGAACCAUUUUAGAAACAUAGUUUCUCUUUCAUUUCCAGCAAUUGACUCUAAUAAGCCUGAUUCUUGUUGCAUUUUGGAUAAAGAGAAGGGCCUUGCUGAGGUCAUUUGCAUUUGCUAUGGCCUCCACUCUUGCUCCUCCGGAUGACCUCCACAUUGCUGGCUUCUUGUUGGGGAUACACACCUACCUACCGAGAGACCUCCAAACAGAGACAUCAACACAGAAACCUCCGCAGAGAUAACCAGAUCUCCAUAUGCAAACCCAUGUAAAAAGAAACCUAGAGAAACAGAUGCCCAGAUGAAGAGGGGUUUCCAGACAGAUUCUUGGCUGACGUUUCUGUCAGUGGUGUGAAAGGACAUUUACCCAGAUUCUAUAGAUAUUUUGGUUAUGCACUCAACAAACCUACAAUGAAACUACCAGAAUACAAAAGCAAUUGUGAACUCCAGAGAGUGCUAGAAAACAUUAUGGAAGAGGGUAUAGUUUAUGUUAAUUAUAGAGGACUAAAGAGAUGUAGAAUAGGAGAGCUGAAAAAGCCUCCACUUCCAGUGGCUCUUAGAGUGUAAUUAGUCCAAGGGACAGCAAGCUGCCUUCUAGCAGAAUCGUUGUGAUCCCAAAGCCCACAUGACUGGGGCCUCUCUCUGGUCCUUUAUACAGUAAUUAAUAUUUAAAAGAUCUCGCUAAAGCCCUGUCAAGUCCUGAAGCAAGAUUUUGAAAAAUAAAAAAACUCAUAAAACACAAAAUAGAACAAAACAAUGAGCUCUGAGUUUGCUUUGUUGAAAGCAAUGGGUUGAAUUGUGUCUCCCCAUAAUAUGUAUUUUGAAGUCCUAACCUCUAGUACCUUAGGGUGUGACCUUAUUUGGAGAUGCAGACAUUACAGAAGUAAUCAAGUUAAAGUGAGGUCAUUGGGAUGGGCCCUAAUCUGAUACAACUGGUAAUUUGGACACAGACACAUUCAGGCAGAACACCAUGUGAACAUAAAGAUGGUCAGGUACAAGCCAAAGGGGAGAGGCCUGGAACAGAUCCUUCCUUCACAGGCCUCAGAAGGAACCAACCCUGCCAACAUCUUGAUCUUGGACUUCUGGCCUCCAGACCUGUGAGACAACAAAUUUGUGAUCUUUUGUUAUGACAAUCCUAGCAAAAUACACUGUGACACCCAGUUUCUAAUCUGAUGACAAACGGAGGCAUCUACAAUCUCUGAGGGUGUGUGCAUUUGGGCACUCAUUUCACCACUGACUUCAUUUAUGUCCUAUUCUUUGUUUUCCAUUUGUUUCAUUUUUCUAAUUUUAUCUUCCAUUUUUAAAAAAGUUUACUGUACUAGACGUAACUUUUUAAGCUGCCUGAAAUUCUUCUUAGGUUUACAAAUGAUAUAAACUGGUAAAUAAAGAUGAUCAGACCUUAAGCACAUAUAGCACACAUGGCUGGGAUGAAACAACUAAGUAGCAAAAUAUUAAUUUAUAAAACAAAUUAAACAGCAAAAAAAGAAAAUAGUAAAAUCCAACUCUCCUGGACCAUUGGAGGAGGAACUGCAAGGGAUGAUGAAGAUUUCAUAGAGCAAAUGAUUUCUACACUCUGGGAAAGAAUUCUUCAGGCAGUACACCACUUUAAAAUGGUGCUUGACUCACCAAAACAUCAGAGCCGUCUUCAACUUUUCACAACGCAGAGCAGAGAAAGAGGAAGAUCACUUGUAGAUGGAGUGUGGCAGGAAUUUUGUGAAGUGUAUAAAGAAGUUAGCAAGUGUAUAAAGAAGAUAGCCAUUUACUAAGCAUCUGCUAUGUAGCAGGCACUCUGCUAGACAUUUGUUAUGGAAUGAAUCAUUUAAUCCUUGUAAUAAACUUGCAAGGAUAUAUUUUAGCCCACCCCCUACCUAAAACCAAUAAAUAUGUGGCUCAGAAAAGUAAAUUAACUGGUCUAAGAGCAAGUAAUUAGUAAAAAGUUGAGCUGGGAUUUGAUAUAAAGAAAAAUCUGAUCUAAACUUGAUAAUAUUUCUGCUUCCCCAAAUUGCCUCCUUAAAGUUUACACAUUGUUUGGUCUCUUCAAUACACAUCAAAAUUAUCAAUACCUAUAGAAAUGUCAAUGAAAAGUCUUCCUUUAAAUUAGAAUAUUUAGAAACUUUAGGCCCAGAGACUAAAAAGUAUGUGAAAUUAGUAUAAAAGUAUGUAAAAUGUUUGUAAAGAAAUGAUGAUAACUUCGUAGACCAAUGUGGCAUGUAAAACAUGUGGGCCACAGAGGGAGAUUAAGAAAAAAAUAUAUGCAAUCAUAAUAAUAAAAGUGGAGUUACUCCAGACUAUGCUUUUUGCCAAUUCUUUGGUGAGAAGGGAUUGGUAGUUAAUUAUAGAACCACUUUCUAUAUUAAUUCUAGAUAUUGUAUUCUAAUCCUUAGAAAGUAGGCUGUGGAAGAACUAAUAAUUGCCCUCAAGGACCCAUUCUCUUCUUCUCAUAAGAGAAUCUAUGGUUGCCCAACUAAAGCUUCUAUUUCGCAGCACUCAUUGCAGAUAGUUAUAGCUAUGGACUCAGUUCUGGCCAGUGGACUCUGAAUAAAGGUACUAUGUACACUGUUGGCUGUGCUCUUAAAGCUAAGGGAUGUGCCAUCUCAUCCCCUGUGCUCUCUUUGUUGGCUGGGAAGCUGGCAGGAUGAUAGGAGUUAAGCCAGCCAUUAUGGACUUUCAGAUGGAAACCAGCUGUUGAGGAUGAGAGAGCGACAAAAAGAAGACCGUCAAGAUUGUGGGGCUAAUUUACCAGCCUGAAUUGCCAACCUGUGUUUUUGUAUUACAGGCAAAUAAAGUAUGUGUUUUUAAAGUCGC
rnacentral:lncRNA from 10 species